UACGUAGGGUGCAAGCGUUGUCCGGAUUUAUUGGGCGUAAAGAGCUCGUAGGCGGUUAGUCACGUCGGAUGUGAAAACCCAGUGCUUAACACUGGGCCUGCAUUCGAUACGGGCUGACUAGAGUGUUGUAGGGGAGACUGGAACUCCUGGUGUAGCGGUGAAAUGCGCAGAUAUCAGGAAGAACACCGGUGGCGAAGGCGGGUCUCUGGGCAACUACUGACGCUGAGGAGCGAAAGCGUGGGGAGCAAACAGG
rnacentral:rRNA from 1 species